UCAAACUUGGUCAUUUAGAGGAAGUAAAAGUCGUAACAAGGUUUCCGUAGGUGAACCUGCGGAAGGAUCAUUAAACAAUUAGGCCGUAACAAGCCUUGAACCCUUCUCUACGCGCACCUUUACCUUCUCCUUCGGCGGGUCAGCGCCCGCCGUCGGAACUGACAAACCCCCCUUUUUGCAUCUAGCAUACCACCUGUUCCGAUACAAAAUACAAUCGUUACAACUUUCAACAAUGGAUCUCUUGGCUCUGGCAUCGAUGAAGAACGCAGC
rnacentral:misc_RNA from 1 species